rnacentral:rRNA from 1 species
UACGAGGGGGGCAAGCGUUGUUCGGAAUUAUUGGGCGUAAAGGGUGCGUAGGCGGUUUGGUAAGUCUUGUGUGAAAUCUACAGGCUCAACUUGUAGUCUGCACGAGAAACUGCCGGGCUUGAGUAUGGGGGAGGUGAGUGGAAUUCCUGGUGUAGCGGUGAAAUGCGUAGAUAUCAGGAGGAACACCUGUGGCGAAAGCGGCUCACUGGACCAUAACUGACGCUGAUGCACGAAAGCUAGGGGAGCAAACGGG